GCGCGCGCCUGUCUUUCCCUCCUGGAAUUCUGCUGGAUGGGAAAGUCGGGAGGGCGGGAGAAGAGAAGGGAGCGCGCAGGCGCGAUCCUGUCCGGCCCGUGUUGUUAAGGCCCCUUUAAGAGGCUUGUGAGCGCGAGCGGCCCCGGCGGCGUUAAGGAAAAGCGGGCUCCGAUUGGUCGCUGCCGCGAGAGAGCUCCCUCCCACCGCGAGGCGUUAACUGUCACAAUGGAGGCCGCCAACGGCCCCGGAGAGAGAGAGAGAGAGAGAGAGAGAGAAGCAGCGGAGGCCGGGCGCUCGCUUCGGAGGGCUGAGGAGGAGGAGGACUGGAGAAAGAUGUUGAGCUCGCAUUUAAGGAAGCUGGGGAGAGAAACAAAAAGGAGGAGGCCAAGUUUCGUCUUGUGGGAAGGAUGCUAAGCGAGACUUGACCCGGAUGGAUGGACCUGUCUUCCCUUUACUAGGCGUGGGCGGGGUGCUGAUGGGGUACCUUGGCUCUGCCAGCGCUCUGAAGAAUGUGCACUAAAGCACAGGCCAUCUCCUCUUUGUUCCGGACACUGAUGACUGGCUCCAGAACAGAGCAUAACAUUGUGUAGUUGUUGGUCACAAAUUCUGCAAAUUCUUUGUACUGCUCCAUGGGGAGGAUGGUUAUAGUCUGGUAACGGCAUUUUAUCCGUAUGGAUGGACCUGUCUUCCCUUUAUUGGGCGUGGGAGUGCUGAUGGGGUACCACUUCUCCACGAAUUGCCGACCAGUCACAGCAGCUAUGGGGAUGUUGACCAGACCCACAUAGUUGUUCUUGUCCUUUUUCUUCUUCUUUUCAAAAUCUUUAUAGAUGUGGACGGUGAUGCUAUGGGCAGGUGGAAGGCCAAAGAAUUCAAAGUGCUCUCCCUAGAAGAUGUUGCCGUUUUUCAUUUUGCUGGUUGUGCGGGCAAAUGAGGUAUCGUCCACGCACAACAGCCCUGGGUGCCAUCGCUGAGAGGGGUGACAUUCGGCUGGGCCAGCCUUCCAAAGAAUGUCACUCCUGGGUGCGCCACCUGCCCGCAACUCACAAGCCUCCCCCGAGUUGUCGAAACGAGGGGGUUAAGGCCGCCAGCAAAGCGGUGCCAGCAGUGUGGCGCAGCUUUGCCGGCGGCCUUCCUCUUUCAUUUCAACAGGUCAGGGGAGGCUUGGGAGUCGCUGGCAGGUGGCGUACCCAGGGGUGACAUUCUUUGGAAGGCUGGCCUGGCCUUCCAGAAGGCAGCACCUGGCUUGCAGCACCCAGAGUGCCGCUCCACUUCUCCCAACGUUCCCGGAGGGCUAUGGAGGAGGAUGACUGGAGAAUGUUAGGUUAGAUGGGAAUGGGGCAAGCGAGAAAGUAUUGGAGGCACGGAAGGGGUGGGAGGCAGAGAUGUGGGAUGGUGGGUAGGGGUGCCCCAAAUGUGUCCGGGUUUUUGUAACCUGGAGUAUGGCAACCCUAAACUGCGUUUACAUCGCAUUACCCUCAAGAUAACAAGUUGUUUUAAAUUGUGCCUCAUGAUUCACUGCUCCACUUGUGAAGUGCUAAUAAAACUAGCAGGCUCAGCUUACAUCGUA